rnacentral:rRNA from 1 species
CCUACGGGAGGCUGCAGUCGAGAAUCAUUCACAAUGGGGGAAACCCUGAUGGUGCGACGCCGCGUGGGGGAAUGAAGGUCUUCGGAUUGUAAACCCCUGUCAUGUGGGAGCAAAUUAAAACGAUCGUACCACAAGAGGAAGAGACGGCUAACUCUGUGCCAGCAGCCGCGGUAAUACAGAGGUCUCAAGCGUUGUUCGGAAUCACUGGGCGUAAAGCGUGCGUAGGCUGUUUCGUAAGUCGUGUGUGAAAGGCGCGGGCUCAACCCGCGGACGGCACAUGAUACUGCGAGACUAGAGUAAGGGAGGGGGAACCGGAAUUCUCGGUGUAGCAGUGAAAUGCGUAGAUAUCGAGAGGAACACUCGUGGCGAAGGCGGGUUCCUGGACAUUAACUGACGCUGAGGCACGAAGGCCAGGGGAGCGAAAGGGAUUAGAUACCCCAGUAGUC